GAAAGGGGGAGGUGGCCUUGUUGACAGAUGAGCUUCUCACAGAAAUGUCUUUAAUUUACAGAUGAUGUACGUGCCCAAAAUGACCCCCAGCCAGAGAGGCAGCGCUCGCAGGGAAGAAGAUGUCUUUGCUCCUGAAGCCUUCCCUUCAGGGGGAAGGGGCGGCAGCCGUGGGGACUGGAACAACCCCAGCUCUGACAAGAUGGAAUAAUCUGGUUUGGGCUGGAGAAUGCGAAGAGUCGAGAUUCAGAGAUCCAACGUGGGAAGAAAGAACCCGAUGAUGCUGUGUCCUUUUGUUUGUUUGUUUGUUUUGCUGCGAAAAACUGUUCUGCAGUGAAAGGAAGUCUUUCCCCAAACUCAGUUUCUACAGUGAUGGCAACUGGAUGAGCUCAUGAGAUGCCAAAUACACACUUGUCCAUCGACAACCCCUUCUGAUGUGCAGGAUCUCCCUGGGAGGACUCUCAGGCACCGAGUGCAACCGUGUCCAGGAUAUCUGUGCCAUCCCAUAAUGAUGCUAUUAAAAGCUCGUUAUUCCAUCUGUUUGCUCUGCGUUGCUCUCUGGUUGCUUGUAAUUUUCUGUAAUGGUCUCAGCUAAUUAUUGAUUGUUCAAACCAGCAAACUCCCUCGAUUCCUUUUUC